rnacentral:rRNA from 1 species
UGGGGAAUAUUGCACAAUGGGGGAAACCCUGAUGCAGCAACGCCGCGUGAGUGAAGAAGUAUUUCGGUAUGUAAAGCUCUAUCAGCAGGGAAGAAAGUGACAGUACCUGACUAAGAAGCCCCGGCUAACUACGUGCCAGCAGCCGCGGUAAUACGUAGGGGGCAAGCGUUAUCCGGAUUUACUGGGUGUAAAGGGAGCGUAGACGGCGCAGCAAGUCUGAAGUGAAAUCCCCGGGCUCAACCCGGGAACUGCUUUGGAAACUGUUGGGCUAGAGUGCUGGAGAGGCAAGCGGAAUCCCUAGUGUAGCGGUGAAAUGCGUAGAUAUUAGGAGGAACACCAGUGGCGAAGGCGGCUUGCUGGACAGUAACUGACGCUGAUGCUCGAAAGUGUGGGUAUCAAACAGGAUUAGAUACCC